rnacentral:rRNA from 1 species
AGAGUUUGAUCAUGGCUCAGGAUGAACGCUGGCGGCGUGCUUAACACAUGCAAGUCGAACGAACCUUCGGGUGAGUGGCGGACGGGUGAGUAACGCGUGGGAAUCUGCCCUCAGGAGGGGGAUAACGACUGGAAACGGUCGCUAAUACCCCAUAUGCCGAGAGGUGAAAUGAAUUUCGCCUGAGGAUGAGCCCGCGUCUGAUUAGCUAGUUGGUGGGGUAGGAGCCUACCAAGGCGACGAUCAGUAGCUGGUCUGAGAGGAUGAUCAGCCACACUGGGACUGAGACACGGCCCAGACUCCUACGGGAGGCAGCAGUGGGGAAUUUUCCGCAAUGGGCGAAAGCCUGACGGAGCAACGCCGCGUGAGGGAUGAAGGCCUCUGGGCUGUAAACCUCUUUUCUCAAGGAAGAAGAUCUGACGGUACUUGAGGAAUAAGCCACGGCUAAUUCCGUGCCAGCAGCCGCGGUAAUACGGGAGUGGCAAGCGUUAUCCGGAAUCAUUGGGCGUAAAGCGUCCGCAGGUGGCUUUGUAAGUCUGCCGUUAAAGCGUGGAGCUUAACUCCAUUUCAGCGGUGGAAACUACAGAGCUUGAGUGUGGUAGGGGCAGAGGGAAUUCCCGGUGUAGCGGUGAAAUGCGUAGAUAUCGGGAAGAACACCAGUGGCGAAGGCGCUCUGCUGGGCCAUAACUGACACUCAUGGACGAAAGCCAGGGGAGCGAAAGGGAUUAGAUACCCCUGUAGUCCUGGCCGUAAACGAUGAACACUAGGCGUCGGGGGAAUCGACCCCCUCGGUGUCGUAGCCAACGCGUUAAGUGUUCCGCCUGGGGAGUACGCACGCAAGUGUGAAACUCAAAGGAAUUGACGGGGGCCCGCACAAGCGGUGGAGUAUGUGGUUUAAUUCGAUGCAACGCGAAGAACCUUACCAGGGUUUGACAUCCUGCGAACCCCUGAGAAAUCGGGGGGUGCCUUCGGGAACGCAGUGACAGGUGGUGCAUGGCUGUCGUCAGCUCGUGUCGUGAGAUGUUGGGUUAAGUCCCGCAACGAGCGCAACCCACGUCUUUAGUUGCCAGCAUUUAGUUGGGCACUCUAGAGAGACCGCCGGUGAUAAACCGGAGGAAGGUGUGGAUGACGUCAAGUCAUCAUGCCCCUUACAUCCUGGGCUACACACGUACUACAAUGCUACGGACAAAGGGCAGCAAACUCGCGAGAGCAAGCAAAUCCCAUAAACCGUGGCUCAGUUCAGAUCGUAGGCUGCAACUCGCCUACGUGAAGGAGGAAUCGCUAGUAAUCGCAGGUCAGCAUACUGCGGUGAAUACGUUCCCGGGCCUUGUACACACCGCCCGUCACACCAUGGAAGUUAGCCACGCCCGAAGUCGUUACUCCAACCCUUGUGGAGGAGGAUGCCGAAGGUGGGGCUGAUGACUGGGGUGAAGUCGUAACAAGGUAAC